rnacentral:rRNA from 1 species
AGGACGAACGCUGGCGGCGUGCUUAACACAUGCAAGUCGAGCGGAAAGGCCCUUCGGGGUACUCGAGCGGCGAACGGGUGAGUAACACGUGAGCAACCUGCCCUUAGCUUCGGGAUAGCUCCGGGAAACCGGAAUUAAUACCGAAUAUGACUUUGGCUGACAUCAGCAGAAGUGGAAAGUUUUUCGGCUAGGGAUGGACUCGCGGCCUAUCAGCUAGUUGGUGAGGUAACGGCCCACCAAGGCGACGACGGGUAGCCGGCCUGAGAGGGCGACCGGCCACACUGGGACUGAGACACGGCCCAGACUCCUACGGGAGGCAGCAGUGGGGAAUAUUGCGCAAUGGGCGAAAGCCUGACGCAGCGACGCCGCGUGGGGAUGAAUGCCUUCGGGUUGUAAACCCCUUUCAGCAGGGACGAAGCGAAAGUGACGGUACCUGCAGAAGAAGCGCCGGCUAACUACGCGCAGCAGCCGC